UACAGAGGGUGCAAGCGUUGUUCGGAAUUAUUGGGCGUAAAGGGCGCGUAGGCGGUGCGGUAAGUCACCUGUGAAACCUCUGGGCUUAACUCAGAGCCUGCAGGCGAAACUGCCGUGCUUGAGUGUGGGAGAGGUGCGUGGAAUUCCCGGUGUAGCGGUGAAAUUCGUAGAUAUCGGGAGGAACACCAGUGGCGAAGGCGGCUACCUGGCACAUAACUGACGCUGAUACGCGAAAGCGUGGGGAGCGAACCGG
rnacentral:rRNA from 1 species